rnacentral:rRNA from 1 species
AUUGAACGCUGGCGGCAUGCUUUACACAUGCAAGUCGAACGGAGUUGGAGCUUGCUCCAAUUUAGUGUCGCACGGGUGAGUAAUAUAUCGGAACGUACGCGGCAAUGGGGGAUAACGUAGCGAAAGUUACGCUCAUAUCGCAUAUGCCCUGAGGGGGAAAGCGGGGGACCAGUAAAGGCCUUGCGUUGACGGAGCGGCCGGUGUCAGAUUAGCUAGUUGGUGAGGUAAAGGCUCACCAAGGCGACGAUCUGUAGCGGGUCUGAGAGGAUGAUCCGCCACACGGGGACUGAGACACGGCCCAGACUCCUACGGGAGGCAGCAGUGGGGAAUUUUGGACAAUGGGCGCAAACCUGAUCCAGCCAUGCCGCGUGAGUGAAGAAGGCCUUCGGGUUGUAAAGCUCUUUCAGCCGGAAAGAAAACGCACCACCUAAUAUGUGGUGUGGAUGACGGUACCGGAAGAAGAAGCACCGGCUAACUACGUGCCAGCAGCCGCAGUAAUAC